rnacentral:tRNA from 1 species
GGUAAAAUGGCCGAAAUAGGCGUAGGGUUGUAGCCCUUAUAAUAAAGGUUAGAGUCCUUUUUUUAUCA